AACGUAGGAGGCGAGCGUUAUCCGGAUUUACUGGGCGUAAAGCGCACGCAGGUGGUCGGGUAAGUUGGACGUGAAAGCUCCUGGCUUAACUGGGAGAGGCCGUUCGAAACUGCCGGACUUGAGGUUGGGAGAGGGGUGUGGAAUUCCCGGUGUAGUGGUGGAAUGCGUAGAGAUCGGGAGGAACACCAGUGGCGAAAGCGGCACCCUGGCCCACACCUGACGCUGAGGUGCGAAAGCGUGGGGAG
rnacentral:rRNA from 1 species